rnacentral:rRNA from 1 species
UACGUAGGGUGCAAGCGUUAAUCGGAAUUACUGGGCGUAAAGCGUGCGCAGGCGGUUUUGUAAGUCUGUCGUGAAAGCCCCGGGCUCAACCUGGGAAUUGCGAUGGAGACUGCAAGGCUUGAAUCUGGCAGAGGGGGGUAGAAUUCCACGUGUAGCAGUGAAAUGCGUAGAGUAUGUGGAGGAACACCGAUGGCGAAGGCAGUCCCCUGGGUCAAAACUGACGCUCAUGCACGAAAGCGUGGGGAGCAAACAGG